rnacentral:rRNA from 1 species
UACAGAGGUCUCAAGCGUUGUUCGGAUUCAUUGGGCGUAAAGGGUGCGUAGGUGGCGCUGUAAGUCGGGUGUGAAAUCCUGAGGCUUAACCUCAGAAUUGCAUUCGAUACUGCAGUGCUUGAGGACUGGAGAGGAGACUGGAAUUCAUGGUGUAGCAGUGAAAUGCGUAGAGAUCAUGAGGAAGACCAGUGGCGAAGGCGGGUCUCUGGACCAUUACUGACACUGAGACACGAAAGCGUGGGGAGCAAACAGG